UAUUAUUAUUUUUUUACCCUGUGUGUUUGUCUGGCUACAAUAAUAGAUAGGCGCUUUUAAAGCAUUAAUAUUUAAUGAUACAAAUAAUAUAUCAUCAGAUUUGUGACUGUGAAAUCAAAAAAUUAUAUUUUCUUGGUUUCAUUCAUGUGCUUUGUACAGUACUCGGCGAGAUUGCAGUAUACAUAUUAGAUUAACUACCAUGAGAAAACUUACACCUCAAGACACAAUCAUUGGUCUAUAGGAGACCGGAAUACAGGUGUCGUAGACAUUCCAAGACUGAGUAAUCAAGGCUACCCACGUCCGUUGAUCGAGUUCUCUUUUCUGAGUACACAAUACAUAUGACUAUCUACUGAUACUCUACGUUUUAAAAAUGCACAAGUGUAUAGUAUGUGGCAAUAGAACUAAUAACACCCGGGUCAGUCGUCCGGGGGUUAUGUAUCAUGGGUGAGUAUCAAUUGGUUCUAGAAAUUUACUCGCUCAAACUGUUGUGAAAAAAACGCACAUGAAUUUUUGAAUCAUAUUAUUGACAUGGUUCAUUAUCCUUGGGCGGGAUACUGUGAAAACAUUUUGAACCGGUUUAGCUUCGUAAUUUUUACUUUGUAUUCCUAACCUAACAUUAGCAAUUUAUUGUAUUCAUUGAUAUUUGUUUUGAAUAUAGAAUUCCUAAGGAUGCAUACAUAAGAAGAGAAUGGCUUAAAGUUUUUGGAAUUGAUCGUUGUUAUGAUUGGCAACGUAUAUGUAGUGAUCAUUUUUUAGAAGAAAACUAUAAGCCAGGA